rnacentral:ncRNA from 1 species
CGCUCAUCCAGAGGGGCAGAGGGAUACGGCCCGUUGAAGCCCCGGCAACCCUCCAGCCGGUUCUCGUAACCGUCAGUGAUCCGCCGACGCAGCACCACGUCAUCCGUUAUGACGUCACGCGUCGACGUACCGGACACUGCGCGAUGUCGCGAGGCUCCCCGGCUCGGGAAGGUGCCAAUUCCGUCUCGUGGCGAAACGCGUCACGGGGAAGAUGAGGA